rnacentral:rRNA from 1 species
AUUGAACGCUGGCGGUAUGCUUUACACAUGCAAGUCGAACGGCAGCACGGACUUCGGUCUGGUGGCGAGUGGCGAACGGGUGAGUAAUGUAUCGGAACGUGCCCAGUCGUGGGGGAUAACGUAGUGAAAAUUACGCUAAUACCGCAUACGAUCUAUGGAUGAAAGCGGGGGAUCGCAAGACCUCGCGCGAUUGGAGCGGCCGAUAUCAGAUUAGGUAGUUGGUGGGGUAAAGGCCCACCAAGCCAACGACCUGUAGCUGGUCUGAGAGGACGACCAGCCACACGGGAACUGAGACACGGUCCAGACUCCUACGGGAGGCAGCAGUGGGGAAUUUUGGACAAUGGGCGAAAGCAUUAUCCAGCCAUUCCGCGUGCAGGAUGAAGGCCCUCGGGUUGUAAACUGCUUUUGUACAGAACGAAAAGGUUUCUACUAAUACUAGGAGCUCAUGACGGUACUGUAAGAAUAAGCACCGGCUAACUGCGUGCCAGCCGCCGCCGCAG